rnacentral:rRNA from 1 species
CAGGGGAUUUUGCGCAAUGGGCUAACGCCUGACGCAGCGACGCCGCGUGGGGGAAGAAGGUCUUCGGGCUGUAAACCCCUUUUCUGGGGGAAGAGCAAGGACGGUACCCCAGGAAUAAGCCCCGGCUAACUACGUGCCAGCAGCCGCGGUAAUACGUAGGGGGCGAGCGUUGUCCGGAAUUACUGGGCGUAAAGGGCGCGUAGGCGGUCCGAAUAGUCUCCGGUGAAAUCUCCCGGCUUAACCGGGAGCUGUCCGGGGAUACUUUCGGGCUUGAGGACAGCAGAGGAGAGUGGAAUUCCCGGUGUAGUGGUGAAAUGCGUAGAUAUCGGGAGGAACACCAGUGGCGAAGGCGGCUCUCUGGGCUGUUCCUGACGCUGAGGCGCGAAAGCGUGGGGAGCGAACCGG